GCCAGACUCCUACGGGAGGCAGCAGUGGGGGAUAUUGCACAAUGGGCGAAAGCCUGAUGCAGCGACGCCGCGUGAGGGAAGACGGUCUUCGGAUUGUAAACCUCUGUCUUUGGGGAAGAAAAUGACGGUACCCAAAGAGGAAGCUCCGGCUAAAUACGUGCCAGCAGCCGCGGUAAUACGUAUGGAGCAAGCGUUAUCCGGAUUUACUGGGCGUAAAGGGAGCGUAGGCGGCCUGCCAAGUCUGAUGUGAAAUGCCGGGGCUCAACCCCGGGGCUGCAUUGGAAACUGGCAGGCUGGAGUGCCGGAGAGGCAGGCGGAAUUCCUAGUGUAGCGGUGAAAUGCGUAGAUAUUAGGAGGAACACCAGUGGCGAAGGCGGCCUGCUGGACGGUGACUGACGCUGAGGCUCGAAAGCGUGGGGAGCAAACAGGAUUAGAUACCCUCGUA
rnacentral:rRNA from 1 species